CCACGCCGUAAACGAUGAUAACUAGCUGUCAGGGCUCUUGGAGCUUUGGUGGCGCAGCUAACGCGUUAAGUUAUCCGCCUGGGGAGUACGGCCGCAAGGUUAAAACUCAAAGAAAUUGACGGGGGCCUGCACAAGCGGUGGAGCAUGUGGUUUAAUUCGAAGCAACGCGCAGAACCUUACCAGCGUUUGACAUGGUAGGACGGUUACUGGAGACAGUUUCCUUCCCUUACGGGACCUACACACAGGUGCUGCAUGGCUGU
rnacentral:rRNA from 1 species